rnacentral:rRNA from 1 species
GAACCACCUGAUCCCAUGCCGAACUCAGAAGUGAAACGCGGUAGCGCCGAUGGUAGUGUGGCAUUCGCCAUGCGAGAGUAGGACACUGUCAGGC